rnacentral:snRNA from 1 species
GUUCAUUCCUGAACAUGUGAUAGAAAAUUGGAACAAUAUAGAGAAGAUUACAAUGGCCCUUGCGGAAACAACAUGUGCAAAGAAAAUGAUUGAACAAUGAUU